GGGAAAACGUAGUACUAAAUAACUCAUCACGUAUGGGAAAAGUCUAAAAAGUAUUUAUUGUAAGAUGUUACAUUUAGAAUGUCUCUCUAGCAGCACUAUUUAAAUGACACAGCUAUUCAAGGGCAGUUACAAUAGAUUGGACUUUGUUUCUUAUGCAAGAUGUUUUGUAAACAAAGAAAAAGACAACAUUACAUCAAUAUGCUUACCACAGUUUCACAAUUUCUAACAAAGGUGUUCCAUAUUUUAAAAAAUAAGUUCAGGAUUAAUAAACACUGUAUUGAGUAAAAAAAGUAAUUGAAAUAUAGAAAUAAAAUUGAUGAAAUAUAGACCAGUUAAAAUAAAUUAAACAGAAAAUGUCAAUUGGAUUACACAAACUUUACAAUUUCAACAUUACCUGAUAUACCACAUACUCCUUCAAAAUUCUAUUUUUCAAUUCUGUUUAGGGUGGGUGCACAGGUUCUCUGAAAUAUUACAAAAUGUUGACCUUUGUUGACAACAAUUCAAACAUUAUGUUCUUCUAAUAUGUAUAACUUUAAUGUUUUCUCAAAUGACAAAUGGAAAUGUCAAGGUUUAGCUUGAAAAUGAAUUUUGAGGAGGAAAAGUGACAUACAUUUUCUGCAUUUUUCACAUGGCCCUACAGCAUUUAAUUUUUGUAUUUUUUUUUUACACCUUUAUUUAACUAGGCAAGUCAGUUAAGAACAAAUUCUUAUUUUCAAUGACGGCCUAGGAACGGUUGGUUAACUGCCUGUUCAGGGGCAGAACGACAGUUUUGUACCUUGUCAGCUCAGGGGUUUGAACUUGCAACCUUCUGGUUGCCAACACUCUAACCACUAGGCUACCCUGCCGCCCCAGUUAAGUGAAUAGGGAGGGUUUCUAACAGGCUAUUCUGUGUUUGUUAACAACAUUAGUGCAAGGACCAACACCAUCCUACUCCAACAACGUUACUCUUUCCCUGCAUGUCUAGAAAUGGAUGGAAAGGGACAUUUAAGCCUCCUGUAAAUGUUGUGGCACAUUCUAGCAGAGAAAGCAACUACAGGCAACAGGAGACGUUUGGCAACUUCACAUGCACUCCAUAGAAUAAGAUGAGAUUUUCAUGACCAAAUGAUAUCAGGUCAAAGUGUUAGCCUAUAAAAAAAACCACAUAGAAUCAAGCAGCCCACUGUUAAUUUAAACCAAUAGCCUGGUGUCAUUUUUUCAAAUUGUCAUGUUGAAAGAGGAAAAUAGUGACCGACAAAAUGCUUGAGUCCAUUCAUGGCUUCCUAAACAACCACUCUAAUUAUAGUAGGCUGUGCACCUUUUGAAGAAGAUAUCUGUCACUGAAAGGGAGCAGCUACAAUAGCACAGAUCAUAUCAAACUUCAGGCUCACUAAAGGGUGUAUACUACUUACUGGAUCCAAUUUGUAGUUUGAAUGUUGGUCAAGCUCUUUCUUGAAUAUAUGACACAUCUAAAUAUUUACAUUACUCAGGUCAUAUAUUUGCUUUCAUUACUAAUCCAUAGCGAGAUCUUUCAACAGCUCAGACAAAAGAAAGUCACACAACAGCUUGAUAAGUUGUUACAUGGAAAUACAGCAAAUGUGACUUGUAGAAAUCAUUAUUGACUUGCACUGGCAACAAUCUAAAAAGUGAUAGCGUUCACAAUCAUCAACGAUAUCGCACAACAAUCCCUCUUGAUGCACUCGAAAGUUCAUUUGAACGUUCCCAAACACGUGGUAAAUGGCUUUUAGAUAGGAGUCAUACAGCUGAAGUGUCAAAUCAUCUGAAGUGACCUACUGUUAUGAUAUGGGGGCUAGUUAGUGACCUACUGUUAUGAUAUGGGGGCUAGUUAGUGACCUACUGUUAUGAUAU
ensembl:lncRNA